GUCCCUGUGAAGAGCACUAGACCAGGAAGUGCCGUAUGACACUGUAAACAGCAGCCGCUUCUUUGCUGCUGCAAGUGUCCACCCCUGUUCAUAACCUCUGUGGUUUGCUCUGGGAUGGAAUACCAUUUGCACCGGCUUGAUUCAGCUGUGUGCGUGAUUUGAAACGGGUCUCUGAGGGAC
rnacentral:snoRNA from 1 species